AGAGUUUGAUCCUGGCUCAGGAUGAACGCUAGCUACAGGCUUAACACAUGCAAGUCGAGGGGAAACGACAUCGAAAGCUUGCUUUUGAUGGUCGUCGACCGGCGCACGGGUGAGUAACGCGUAUCCCAACCUGCCCAUCACGUUGGGGAUAACCUUGCGAAAGUAAGACUAAUACCCAAUGAUAUCUCUAGAAGACAUCUGAAAGAGAUUAAAGAUUUAUCGGUGAUGGAUGGGGAUGCGUCUGAUUAGCUUGUUGGCGGGGUAACGGCCCACCAAGGCGACGAUCAGUAGGGGUUCUGAGAGGAAGGCCCCCCACAUUGGAACUGAGACACGGUCCAAACUCCUACGGGAGGCAGCA
rnacentral:rRNA from 1 species